CCACGAAAUUGACGGCCAUAGCUCUCCGGAAAUUGAUGACCAUCGCCGGCCAUAGCCCUCAUCCCUAGUCCAUCUGUCUAUCGGUUUCCUGAAUCUUCAAUUUUUUUCUGAGGUAAUAUUUUCCCCCCAUUCUCUGUCUCUCUGUCUCUCUCUCGCCUUCAUACACACAUACAUUCAUCAAUCAAAGAGGCUUAAUAAUCAGUUUCAGUUUAAGAAUACAUUCAGAAAUAGUUUGUUCUAUGUAAAUGCAUUCAGCGUGAAUACAUUCAUCAAUCUCUAUGUAUGUCCGCAAUGCCGAGUGUGAACGCAUUAAAGAGACUUAAUCAGUUUCAGUUUGAGAAUACAUUCAAAAAUAAUUUGUUCUGUGUGACUACAUUCAUCAAUCUCUCUGUUAAUGUGUUCUGUGUUCAUACACACAUACAUUCAUCAAUCAGAGAGGGUUAAUCAGUUUCAGUUUGAGAAUACAUUCAGAAAUAGUUUGUUCUGUGUUCCAGGUCUGUGACUACACAAAUUGUUCUUUGUUCCAAUUUGUUAAUGUGAGCCCAUUAUAUUUUACAUUGAAAUUAGUUUGUUAAUCAUUUUGUUAAUGUAUAGAUUGUCUCUGUUCUAUUCUGUGUUCUCUGAUCUGUUCUAUUGAAAUUAGUCUCUAUUUUUCUUAUCUUUUUUUUUUAACAAACUUUAGUGUCUUACUUCUAUUUGUGGAACUUCUAAACAUGUCAAAUAUUACUUAUUAGAUGAAGUUGCUAUAAUUUAUUAGUGUUUGAAAACUUGGACUUACCCAGUAAACAUUCUAAAAUCAUUCUAUUUCAAUUUCAUUUUUCAAAGUGGAAGAAUGGAGGUUGAUUCAAAUGGUGGUAACAAUCCUUCAGUAAAUGAGGGUGAACAAGUUGAAGAACCUAAGAAGGGUAAGUAUUUUCUCUCAAGGGAGGAAGUGUACACAUUUUAUGGCAAAUAUGCUAAGCAUGUUGGAUUUUCUAUAGCUCAUAGAGCACAACAUUUUGGAGAUGAUGGACAAUUAAAAAACUUUGCAAUUGAAUGUUCUCAAGCAAGGGAGAGGGAAAAAAAUCAGAAAUGAACCCUUUGAAGCCAUCUUUGUCAACAAAAAUCGAUUACCAAGCAAGGGUACGAGGUAGUCUACAAAAGGAUGGGAGAUAUAUGUUAACCACAGUUAACCUUGAGUAUAAUCAUGAUUUGAUUCCCACUGACUCACGUCAUUUUACAAUGAAUAAGAAAAUUCUUACUCCUAUGAAGAGACGAUUAGAAAUUAAUGAUCAAGCGGGGAUUGGGGUGUCUAGGAACUAUCAUUCAAUGGUUGUUGAAGCGGGGGGAUACGAGUCAUUAACAUUUGAUGAGCAAAAUGCAAAGAAUUACAUUGAUAGAGGUAGAAGAUUAAGGCUUGGGGAAGGUAAUGCCCAAUCACUUCAAAGUUAUUUUAUGAAGAUGCAAGCACAUAGUGAGAGAUUCUUUUAUGUGAUUGACGUUAAUGAUGAGUGUCACAUUAGAAACUUGUUUGGGGCUGAUGCAAAGAGUCGGGCUACUUAUGAAACAUUUGGAGAUGUUUUUUCAUUUGACACAACCUAUCUGACAAACAAAUAUGACAUACCAUUUGCUCCAUUUGUAGGAGUUAAUCACUUGGGUGUGGAUUGUUAUCUAGUGAAGACACUGACACAUUUGUUUGGCUAUUUAAGUCGUGGUUAAGUUGCAUGUCAAACCGUCCUCCAAAAGCUAUCAUAACUGAUCAGUGCAGAGCUAUGCAAAAUGCUAUAGAAAUUGUAUUUCCAUAGGCUCGACAUCGAUGGUGCUUAUAGCAUAUAAUGAAGAAAAUUCCGGAGAAGUUGAAAGGAUAUGCUGAGUAUGAACGCAUAAAAUUGUCUAUGCAAAAUACAGUUUAUGACUGUUUGACAAGAGAUGAAUUUGAGAAUCAAUGGGAAAAGAUGCUUACAAAAUUCAAUUUUUAUAAUAAUGACUGGUUGGGGGUACUAUAUGAUGAGCGGCAUCGAUGGGUUUAUGUAUAUGUUAAAGACAUAUUUUGGUUUGGCAUGUCAGUUACACAAUGAAGUGAAAGUAUGAAUGCAUUUUUUGAUGGAUAUGUCAACCCGAAAACUACAUUAAAGCAAUUUGUUGAACAAUAUGACAAUGCAUUGAGAAGCAAGGUAGAGAAAGAGAAGAAAUCAGACUUCAAGUCUCGACACAAAUUGUUUGAUUGUCUGACUAUAUAUGGCUUUGAGAAGCAAUUUCAGCAAACAUACACCAAUGCAAAAUUCAAAGAAGUUCAAGGAGAGUUGAAGAGAUUAGUUUAUUGUUAGGCAGUGAUUGUGAAAGAGGAAGAAUCAAUUUGUACAUAUAAUGUCCAAGAAGCGAUGGUAGUUUGUGAGAAGAUGAAGCAUGUGGACUUUGUUGUAUAUUUUAAUUCAAUUGAAUGUGAAGUUCAAUGUAUGUGUCGGUUGUUUGAGUUUAGAGGCAUUGAAGAAAAGAUUUGGUUCGAGAGUACACAUGCAUCAAAACCACAUACAGUGGCUUUGGAGGUGAUUUCAAUGCAAGUUGUUAUGAGAGGAUGAACAAGAAAUUGAUUGGCAUUGUACAACUUGCUAGUAACUGUGAAGGGAAAAUUAAAAUGAUAGACCUUGGGUUGGAUGAAAUGAAGGAUAGAGUCAUGAAAGAUGAAUCUGGUAGUGGGAGUAAUUUACAAGCUUGUACUACUUUCAUACCAUCUUGUAGAAAAAGUCCGAUUGCCACCAGUUCUACAAUAGUGUCUACUACUAGGAAGGUGAUCAGUCCUUUGGUUGCUCGGUGAAGAGGCCGUCUAGUUACGAAACAAAAGGUUGCCAACGUAGAUCAAAUAGUCAAUCGGUUCAAGGCAACGGCAAAAAAACAAACAAAAGCAAAGACCGCUAAGGAGCUUCGAUUUGAAGCUCAAGCUCAAGCUCAAGCUUAUGCAUUGUAUUAUCCUUAUAUGGGUGGCAUGCAGAAUAGUAUGUAUGUACCGGUGGUAAAUGCUAUUGAAGGCACAUCUGUUACCCCAUCGGAGUUUAUAAGAGGCACACUAGGAAGUUUGAUGAAUGCACCAACUCAAAGUUUUGGUUCUGGAUCUCUAACCCCAUCGGGUUCUAAUGCAUAAACUCCGAGAAUGAAUGAUGGACAUUAUAGACAUGUUUGACUUGUUUAUUGAACUUUUACAAUUAGUUUUAGAGAUUAGAACUUAUUAUGUUAAGUCCCACCUUAGAUGUGUAAAAAAUGUUCUGUCCCACCUUAUUAUAGACAUGUUUGACUUGUUAAUUGAACUUUCUGUGCCUGGGUUA